CAAAAUAAACCCAGUUCCAAGGCUCAAUUAAGAUAAUCUACGAUUGCUCCUUCAAAAUCUCGGAGCUGGUCUGUGAGAAAUCGACGAGCUGCUGAUUUAACUAACCUCACCGUCGGAGCCGCAACUCUAAUUUUCAUUGCUUUCUAGAUCUCUCACUUGCUUUCUUACAGAUCUUGCAGCUAUUUCCAGAUCUCAUAGCUCAAUAUCUCGCAUCUUAGUCAUAGGCAAGGUCGUUUUACAACUCAAGAGGUGGACUUGGGUCCUGAUCCAUGAGGCCGACUCUUUCCUCCACCGACAAUGAUGCAUUGCAGAGGCCUUUUCUCUGUUCAGUGAGAUCAUCAAAUCAAAGAUCAUCAACGACCGUGAGAUCGAGAGGUCCAGGGGCUUCAGCUUUGUCACUUUCAACCACGAGAAGGCUAUAAGGGACGCGAUCGAAGGCAUAAACGGCUAGAACCUCGACGGCCAUGACGCCCAAUCUCGUGGAAGCGGCGGUGGUUGUGGUGGUAACGGAGGUUACAGUCACGGAGGAUAUGGUGGCGUUGGCUACGGAUCUGGCGGCGUUGGCUACUGAGGUGGCGAUCAUCGUGAAGGCGGUGGGGAUAGCGUCUCGAUGACGAUUCGGUUUAGGCCACUUAGGCAAAUUUGGAAAAGAAGAUCCGAACUUUAUUGAAGAAAGAAUUUAUUACAAAGAUGUAUUUGUUUGGUUACUCACUUUGUUUAGUUGAUCAACUUUAAUCUCAAGUGAAAGAAGUGCCCAUAGCCAUUGCCCGGCCAUUCACAUCAUGAUACCAUUGACUAUCACUGAGAGGUAUUUCCUUUUGCCUUUGCAAUUAUUUAUGGUGAAACUAUGGACAAUUGGAGAGGUUCGAUGGAGAAGGAAGGGUCGUAGCGGCAUGCCCUUGGUUUUCGUUUUUUUAAUUUUUUUAAAAAAAUCUGGGUUGGGCUUGUUUUGGGUUUUUUUUUAUUGGGCUUCUUUUAAGUUAGUGGCAGUCAUGUAAUUUAUAGGAAAUUCAACACUCAUUUUGUAUGCAGUAAAUUGUUUUUGGGUAUGUUUCUAAAGAGUAUUUCAUGUAUGUUUGUUUAUAAUUUCAGCCUCUAUUUUGGGUAUAUCACUAAAGCUCCCUUUAAUUUACGUCAUAAUUUGAAUUCGUUUACCAUAAUUGUCAUUGAGAUAGAAAAGGAAAUUAUCUUAAACAUAUCCCAGAAAUCACAUUGCUAUACAAACAGUCAUUCUCCUUUGAACCCAAUCUCUGUUGAUUCCUUGCUUCUUCAAUGCAGAAUUGUUGGGGUUUCAAAUUAGGUUUGAAUAUUACAGAUACUCAGAAGGUUCGAUGGUCACAAUUUAGCACUUCUGAGGCAUCCCAGCUUUCAUGGUUAUUUCCUACAAUCAUGCUCAUUCCGUCCAAAUCGCUCCAGAUUUCCGUCGAGUAGCUGCAGAUUUCUUGCUGCAAUAAUGUAGAGUUUUUUGGGUAUGAAAAUGAUAGGAACCUGACGUUCAAAAGCAAGAAAUCAAUUGUUGACAAAAUAGGGAUUGGGUCUUCUGACAUUGGGUUGCUAGAGUGCAAUUCCACACGUACAGCAUCCUCAUGGCUACGAAAGGGUUUGCAAACCUAUAGUACAGGUCAGACGUGUUGAAGUUUCAUCGUGUAAUGGAGCGAAUAAGAGUAAAUGUGAGUGUAAGCAAAUGGCAAUCAACCAAAGGCUACAACAAUCAUCAUCGUUGGAGUAUAUAGUGAAGCAAAUGGCAAUCAACCAAUCCAAUUUCCAGCAAACAACACAAGCUGCCAUCUCCAAGUUGGAAGUCCAAUUGGGCCA